rnacentral:lncRNA from 1 species
ACCUGAGACCGCCACGGUGACUUGCAAGCAACUCACUGCACUUAGGCACUGGACUACCUGAAUUUUUAAUUCAGUGAUAGAAGGCUGCUGGGUGUAGUCAAGUACUUGACUUGUCGGUGCGUGUGUCAAGAUGGGAUUGACCACUUUAAUUUAGGAGCUGUGUACAGUCAUGUUUCAAUUUAGCAAAAUCUUGGCCAGAGUAGUCCUUGUGAGGAGUCACAGGACUGUUUGAGUUGAGCACGAUUCGGAUGAUCUGAUCAGGGUUGACAGUUUAACCCUAAGUCAUCCUAAACACAGGGGUAAACAGGAUGAAUUAUACAGUAACCAUAUUCAUGUAGGUU